GUGCCAGCCGCCGCGGUAAGACGUAGGAUGCGAGCGUUGUCCGGAUUUAUUGGGCGUAAAGAGUUCGUAGGUGGUUCGUUAAGUUUGGUGUUAAAGACCAGGGCUCAACCUUGGGACCGCACUGAAUACUGGCGGACUGGAGUGAAGUAGAGGCAAGCGGAAUUCCAGGUGUAGCGGUGAAAUGCGUAGAUAUCUGGAAGAACACCGGUGGCGUAAGCGGCUUGCUGGGCUUUAACUGACGCUGAGGAACGAAAGCUAGGGUAGCGAAUGGGAUUAGAUACCCCCGUAGUCC
rnacentral:rRNA from 1 species